rnacentral:rRNA from 1 species
AUUGAACGCUGGCGGCAGGCCUAACACAUGCAAGUCGAGCGCGAAAGUCUUCGGAUGAGUAAAGCGGCGAACGGGUGAGUAAUGCAUGGGAAUCUGCCUGGUAGUGGGGGACAACGUCUCGAAAGGGACGCUAAUACCGCAUACGCCUACGGGGAAAGGGGGGGAUCUUCGGACCUCUCGCUAUCAGAUGAGCCCAUGUCAGAUUAGCUAGUUGGUGAGGUAAAGGCUCACCAAGGCGACGAUCUGUAACUGGUCUGAGAGGAUGAUCAGUCACACUGGAACUGAGACACGGUCCAGACUCCUACGGGAGGCAACAGUGGGGAAUAUUGGACAAUGGGGGCAACCUCGAUCCAGCCAUGCCGCGUGUGUGAAGAAGGCCCUAGGGUUGUAAAGCACUUUC